UACGUAGGUGGCAAGCGUUGUCCGGAAUUAUUGGGCGUAAAGCGCGCGCAGGCGGUCCUUUAAGUCUGAUGUGAAAGCCCACGGCUCAACCGUGGAGGGUCAUUGGAAACUGGGGGACUUGAGUGCAGGAGAGAAGAGUGGAAUUCCACGUGUAGCGGUGAAAUGCGUAGAGAUGUGGAGGAACACCAGUGGCGAAGGCGACUCUUUGGCCU
rnacentral:rRNA from 1 species